ACACACACACACAUUGAUACUUUUCACAUACACACAUAUUUGGUUAUGGUUACAGGAAUAAAUGUUGGCAGUUCACUCUUGCUCUCCCCUCUCUCUCUCUCUCUUCAUGUGUAAAUAUGAGUUUGGAUUGACUUAUCUCUGCCGCCAAAGAAAUAAGCAGCUUAAUACAACUCCAGCCAGACAGUAGGUGUGUGGAUGUUUCCCUUUCCUUGCUUAGAGGGGAAAUGUAUUUUGACGGUAGGUGAGGACCAAAACGUUUGGGAGAAAUGUUUUCUCUGCAUAUUUCAUUUUUUAAAUGCAGAAUGUUGCAGUGAUUUGAGUAAGAUAACGAGGAUAGAGAGAUAAACAGGAAGAAGACAGGGAGGUAGGAUAGAGAGAUAAACAGGAAGAAGACAGGGAGGUAGGAUAGAGAGAUAAACAGGAAGAAGACAGGGAGGUAGGAUAGAGAGAUAAACAGGAAGAAGACAGGGAGGUAGGAUAGAGAGAUAAACAGGAAGAAGACAGGGAGGUAGGAUAGAGAGAUAAACAGGAAGAAGACAGGGAGGUAGGAUAGAGAGAUAAACAGGAAGAAGACAGGGAGGUAGGAUAGAGAGAUAAACAGGAAGAAGACAGGGAGGUAGGAUAGAGAGAUAAACAGGAAGAAGACAGGGAGGUAGGAUAGAGAGAUAAACAGGAAGAAGACAGGGAGGUAGGAUAGAGAGAUAAACAGGAAGAAGACAGGGAGGUAGGAUAGAGAGAUAAACAGGAAGAAGACAGGGAGGUAGGAUAGAGAGAUAAACAGGAAGAAGACAGGGAGGUAGGAUAGAGAGAUAAACAGGAAGAAGACAGGGAGGUAGGAUAGAGAGAUAAACAGGAAGAAGACAGGGAGGUAGGAUAGAGAGAUAAACAGGAAGAAGACAGGGAGGUAGGAUAGAGAGAUAAACAGGAAGAAGACAGGGAGGUAGGAUAGAGAGAUAAACAGGAAGAAGACAGGGAGGUAGGAUAGAGAGAUAAACAGGAAGAAGACAGGGAGGUAGGAUAGAGAGAUAAACAGGAAGAAGACAGGGAGGUAGGAUAGAGAGAUAAACAGGAAGAAGACAGGGAGGUAGGAUAGAGAGUGAGAUGAGAGGAUGGAGGGAGAGAAGGAUAAAGAAGGAGGGAGGAUAGAGAGAAAGGAAAAGGA